AGAGUUUGAUCCUGGCUCAGAUUGAACGCUGGCGGCAUGCCUAACACAUGCAAGUCGCACGCGAAAGGGGGCAACCCCGAGUAGAGUGGCGGACGGAUGCGUAAUACGCAGGAAUCUACCCACGAGUGGGGGACAACCCGGGGAAACCCGGGCUAAUACCGCAUGAGACCUACGGGUGAAAGUGGGGGAUCGCAAGACCUCGCGCUGGUGGAUGAGCCUGCGUCCGAUUAGCUAGUUGGUAGGGUAAAAGCCUACCAAGGCAACGAUCGGUAGCUGGUCUGAGAGGACGACCAGCCACACUGGGACUGAGACACGGCCCAGACUCCUACGGGAGGCAGCAGUGGGGAAUAUUGGACAAUGGGGGCAACCCUGAUCCAGCAAUGCCGCGUGUGUGAAGAAGGCCUUCGGGUUGUAAAGCACUUUCGAUGGGGACAAACGUGUCGGGCUCAAUACGUCCUGCCUUGAUGGUACCUAGAGAAGAAGCACCGGCUAACUCUGUGCCAGCAGCCGCGGUAAUACAGAGGGUGCAAGCGUUAAUCGGAAUUACUGGGCGUAAAGCGUGCGUAGGUGGUUGGAUAAGUCAGGUGUGAAAUCCCCGAGCUUAACUUGGGAAUUGCGCUUGAUACUGUCCGGCUAGAGUGUGGUAGAGGGUAGUGGAAUUCCGCAUGUAGCGGUGAAAUGCGUAGAUAUGCGGAGGAACAUCAGUGGCGAAGGCGGCUACCUGGACCAACACUGACACUGAGGCACGAAAGCGUGGGUAGCAAACAGGAUUAGAUACCCUGGUAGUCC
rnacentral:rRNA from 1 species